AACGAACGCUGGCGGCAGGCUUAACACAUGCAAGUCGAACGGGCGUAGCAAUACGUCAGUGGCAGACGGGUGAGUAACACGUGGGAACCUUCCUAGGGGUACGGAACAACUCAGGGAGACUUGAGCUAAUACCGUAUACGUCCGUGAGGAGAAAGAUUUAUCGCCCUUAGACGGGCCCGCGUCGGAUUAGGUAGUUGGUGGGGUAACGGCCUACCAAGCCUUCGAUCCGUAGCUGAUCUGAGAGGAUGAUCAGCCACACUGGGACUGAGACACGGCCCAGACUCCUACGGGAGGCAGCAGUGGGGAAUUUUGGACAAUGGGCGCAAGCCUGAUCCAGCCAUGCCGCGUGAGUGAAGAAGGCCUUAGGGUUGUAAAGCUCUUUUACCAGGGACGAUAAUGACGGUACCUGGAGAAUAAGCCCCGGCAAACUUCGUGCCAGCCGCCGCAGUAAUAC
rnacentral:rRNA from 1 species